GAGCCGUCCCUGACCCUUCCGCCAUGAGCGGACGCAGACAUGUACAGUAGGAGGGCGAUGGGAGACACCUGGAGAGAAGAUGGCCGUCCACAAACCAGGGCCAGAGGCCUAGAGCAGGUGCCCCCUGCUGGACUCCAAGGGAGCCAAGCCUGCUGCCCCCUGGGUUUUGGACUUCUGGCUUCCAGAACUGCAAGGUGAUAAGCUUCUCUUGUCGAAGGCACCCAAUCUGUGGCAGUUUAUUAUGGUCCCCGUAGCAAACAAAUACCCUCAGGUUGGCUGCAUCCUGGGACUGAAGGUCAGCGCUGCUCUCAAGAUGUAAAAGACUUUCUCCUUCUGAGGCUCCGGGGUCCACUCCUGCCAUUGCCAGCAUUCUAGAACUGGUGUGGCCCCUCCACCUUAACCAGCCCUGGGCUCUGGAGUUUCUGACUGUGAUUGUCCACAUUUUGACCACAACUUUGUAUAUAAAAACCCUCCUUGAACUGUUCCACUGUGUGUGCCCGCCUAUUGGGACCCUGACUGAUACAUGCUGUAUUGGUUUUUAAAAACUUUUUAAAAUUUAUAUUUUAUUUAGGAUUUUGCAUGUA
ensembl:lncRNA novel transcript